UGUGGGAGCUGGCUUGCCAGCGAUGCAGACAACUCGGUCUCUCAGGAGAAUCGAGGUGAUGCAAUCGCUGGCAAGCCAGCUCCCACA
rnacentral:misc_RNA from 1 species